rnacentral:lncRNA from 13 species
AAGUUUCCUCAAACAACAAAGUUCUUUAUUAGUAAGAUUUGCGAAAAUGGAGCUGGUUAGUGGAGACCCAAAAUGUUGCACAGACUCUGUCAUUUAUAGCCAUCCUCAGUGUCUGUCUUUGCCAGAUAACCUACAGCUGGCAAAGAUAAAUAUGUCCUUAUAUGGUCACUUAUGUUAGAGUUUCGCUAAGCAUGUCAUAGUCAUCUCAUACCUUGAGAAAACAGGAACCGUAUCCCAGAUAGGAACACUUGAAACGGGUCAGACAAGUCUGCAGAAACCAGUCGUUCCCUGCUAUCUCACAACUAAGAUUAACAACAGAAUCAGAUUUAUUCUCAUAUAAAUCUUUAAGCAUGCAAUGUCAAAGUAAUUGAGUAUGCACAACAUUUCUCCCAUAGGAGGCGCUUGGGAGACGACCACCCGGUCGCCAUAUCCUGAGGUGACAGUGAGGUCCUCGCGGGUGGACAACCCGGCAGUGUCAGUUCUGGAGGAGUUACCUGGGAGUGUCCCUGACCUGAGGGAGGAGGCCAAGCACCACCAGCCAUGCCCGGUAGUACACAGCACACACCUGGACCAGGAGCUGGACACAGGUGUUUCUGGGAAGAGAGUUACCACAUGAGGUCAUAACCAUUCUUCUUCGGAGUAAAAGAGGCAGGAAGAGAGAAGGGGCGGGGAUGAAAGACAGAAUGAAGAAAGUAUUCAAAGGCGACCAUCUCAAGCAAUGAACUGUGUUGCUGGUUCUUUAGCCAUGUUGCUGAUAUCAUUUCCUAAAUCAUGAUAAUAACAAACUAACCUUUACAUAAAUACUGCAUAGAAAUAGAAAAUAUAUUGUGGAAAACAUACACCGUUAAACAUAUAUGUUCUGUAGAUCAUCAUAAUAACAAAACAUAAGUGCAUCUGUGUAACUAUACAAAGUGUUAAACUAUUAUUAUGAGAGCAACGUGGUCUCAGAGCAUUUCAUAUUAUUCUGUACGUAAAUCCGAGACACUCCAUUUAGUAUGAUUUUUAAAGUAUCUUAUGGUAUGUGUUAAUUUGUGGAUGUCCAUAAUCCAUUUCGUACAAUAUGUUACAAAUUGCAAUUUGUACAAUAUGUUACGAAUUUGCAAUUGUAUUACAAAUUCCAAUUUGUUGUGGCUAAUGUUAGCUAGGUGGCUAGGUUGCUAACGCUAACUUUAAGGUUAGGGUUAAGGUUAGGAGUUAGGUUAAAAGGUUAAGGCUUGGGUUAGGGUUAGGAGAAGGGUUAAGGUUAGUAUUUGGGGAAGGGUUAGCCAACAUGUUAAGUAGUUGCAUAGUAGCUAAAAAGUAGUAAGUAGUUACAAAGUUGCUAAUUAGCUAAAAUGUUAAAGUUGUUUGUGAUGACAUUAGAACAUACAACCUUUGGGCUGCUAGAUGUUUGCGUUAUCUGCCCACCCAUCCACCCCGUGUUAUACGCCCACACAUCCACCCCGACCAACCACCCUUCUUUAGUUUUUGCCCUAAGUAACCUUCUAUCUUAUGCAACAAUACCAAACGUAACAUAUCAUACUAAUUUUAGUGUCUCUGAUUUACAUUUAAUAUGUUACACCUAGUCUAUGAGACCAGUCUGAUCAGAAACGUGUAAACCGUGUUAUAAACUAAAUUAAUAAAAGAUAAACUUGACUUAAAACAAUGCUGUAGUGUGUGUGUGUGUGUGUGUGUGUGUGUGUGUGUGUGUGUGUGUGUGUGUGUGUGUGUGUGCGUGCGUAAAAAUAUCCAGGCCAGCACAGUACAAAUCAGUUCGGCCCUAUGUUUGUUCGACCAUGAUAAAAUUGCAGUUCUCAACAGACAAAUAUUGGCCAUAUAUCUCUAACCUUCAGCCAUGACCUUAAUCUGAACCGCAACCAUUUUUGACUUUUUAAGUGGUGGUUGAACACAAAGCAUUGUGGUUGAAGAGGUGGGCUGCAUUUCGACGCUGGAUUGGAGCUGACCACAGAAAAGAGCCUGGAGGCGGGUCCGUGGAGCAAGGUGCUGUAUACAGACAGGAGAGAAGGAUGGGAGAUUCAGAUUUUUGUCUGGGUGGCAGAUAGUUCAAGCAGGGUGGUUGGUAAAUAAAUCAGAUUGCCGAAAACAUCGGACGCCGAUUCGGUCACGAAGCCUCAGCCUAAAUAAAAUGACUGAAACAGAAGUUGUUUAAUUGUUAAGCACAAUAUUUGCUGCUGAUCUUCCUGCUUUUCCUUCCUUGCAUGGGUACACUCAAUAUGGCAGCAGGUUCACCCAUCACAGAAUAUGACUUGAAUGGAAAUUUCCAUUGGAGUCACUCUAUAUGGGAGUGGCAAAGGGAGCGUGUUGGUAUUGGACAGAAGAGAGAGAUUGGUAUGUUUGGGCGAUUCACUGCAACGAUAAUUAGGGAGCGUGUGGGUGGAAAUUAAACUAUGGCAUUAUCUAGAAUUCUUAGGAAAGGCUUGACUUAGGGUCAGGAAGCGGAAGAGAAUGGGUACCCACUGGGCACAAACUGGUUAAAUCAACGUUGUUUCUACAUCAUUUCAACAAAAAAAUCAAUGUGAUGAUGUUGAAUCAAUUUGGGCAACUGAUUGAAUGAUUUGCAAAAAGUCAUCAACUUAAAGGAAUUCCGUGAAUAUUUGACUUUUUUCCACCCAGCUUUGAACCUAAAUCUAGUUAAAUGGUUGUUUUGGCACUGUACUCCAACACUUUGGGUUUGAAAGAAUACAAUGACUAUAAGGUUUAAGUGCAGACUGCGAGUUUAAAUUUGAGGGUAUUUUCAUCCAUAUCAGGGGAACAGUUUAAAAUGUCAGCACUUUUUGUACAUAGUCCCUCCAUUUUAAGGGACCAAAAGUAUUGGGACAAAUUCACUUGAAUGUUUAUUAAAGGAGUAGAAAGUGAAGUAUUUGGUCCCAUAUUCAUAGCACGCAAUGAUUACGUUAAGCUUCUGACACCACGAAUUUGUUGGAUGCAUUUUCUAUUUGUUUUUGUUUAUUUUUCAAAUUAUUUUGUGCCCGAUAGAAAUGAAUGGUAAAUAAUGGAUUGUGUCACUAGGAGUCACUUUUGUUGUAAAUAAGAAUAGAAUAUGUUUCUAAACACUUCCAGAUAAAUGUAGAUGCUACCACGGUUACAGAUAAUCCUGAAUGGAUCGUGAAUAAUGAUGAGUGAGAAAAAUAUAUAUUGUUAUUGUAAUAGCAAUGUAAUGGUGAGAGGUUGGCAUGUCUUGGGGGUAUGAUAUUUGUGUGUAACUUUUUCACGAAUCCUUAUUCGCGAUUCAUUCAGGUUUAUCCGUAAUCAUGGUAGCAUCUACAUUCAUGUGGAAAUGUUUAGAAACGUCUUCUAUUCUUAGUUACAAUAAAAGUGACUCCAAAAUGUAACAAUACAUUAUUUACCAAUAAUUAGAAUUUUUGUUAGAUUGUGUGUGUUAUCCCUUACCUCCCGUAGGCAUCUCUGAAUCUCUGCCCUCAAAUGAGAGAGGGAAGCACCAGG